CCGACGGUGAGAGGUGAAAGCUGGGGGAGCAAACCGGAUUAGAUACCCGGGUAGUCCCAGCCGUAAACGAUGUGCGUUAGGUGUAUCGGUGACCACGAGUCACCGAGGUGCCGAAGAGAAAUCGUGAAACGUACCGCCUGGGAAGUACGGUCGCAAGGCUGAAACUUAAAGGAAUUGGCGGGGAGCACCACAACAGGUGGAGCCUGCGGUUUAAUCGGACUCAACGCCGGAAAACUCACCAGAUAAGACAGCUGAAUGAUAGUCGGGCUGAAGACUCUACUUGACUAGCUGAGAGGAGGUGCAUGGCCGUCGUCAGUUCGUACUGUGAAGCAUCCUGUUAAGUCAGGCAACGAGCGAGACCCACGCCAACAGUUGCUA
rnacentral:rRNA from 1 species